ACGCGGUCAUACACAACGGGACUCGAACACACGACCUCCCGAUUUUCGGAGUCGGGCUAAGAGGUUAUAAAAGUUAGCUCGGGCUCCAGCUCCAACUCUAGCUCGAAUUCAAAAUCAUACUCCUGGGAGUACGUGGUCAGAUUCUAAAACAUUUCGUGUAUGAACUCCCAGGAGUACUUAUUCAAUUUUCCAGCUAGUACUCGAACCUUUUUUUUUUAAUUGCACAAGCGCCCGCCCUUCUUUUUCUACUUCUUCCGUAAUGGCGACGCCAAUAUUUUUAAGUUGACAACAGUGCACAGCAAUAUUCCAGUCCAUGUAACAGUUAGUUAGUGCCAGUUAUUGCUAAAACGUUCUAAAUGAUAUUUUUUAAAAAGAAAUAUUCGUUGAAUUAGAUAUAAUGUCUGUAAAUAUAAAAGAAUCCACCCUAAGACAUAUCCUUUCUGGCGAUACAAGAAAAACAACACUGUACACGGUAUUCUCUCUCUCUCUCUCUCUCUCUCUCUCUCUCUCUCUCUCUCUCUCUCUCCCUUUCUUCACCCACAAACAAGACUAUAAAUCAAUGUAUUUCUCACAACAUGAAAACAUCUUGAGUGCACCUUAGGAAGUAGUCUUCUCUACCAACAUCAAAUGUAAACGAUUUGAUUUAUUAUAUAAACUAUAGAAAUUGCAUAAAAUCAUAGAUAACUACAAUUGACGAAAUUCAUUUUAAUUGGGCAAUGCAAUAAAGCAGCAAUUACCUUUGUGCAGUGUGAUACACAACAAAACCAUAUUUGUUGUUUCAACAAGUUGUUCGUUGAAUAUUCACGUAAUUAACGUAUGUACAAGCUAUCGUGACAAUUAUAAGUAUAAUUAUCGUUCGUUACUUUAAAAAAUAAACAAACCACGAUGUUCAAACACUUACUUUAUGUGCUAUUUAUCGAUUUAUUUUUAUGUUGAAUUUAAGCAAAUAAGACAUUUUAAGAGGCCGUCCACGGAGAUAUCAGGCAGUAGCUAUAAUACGGCUGGCACAUGCAAUUCCCCAAAAUUUUAUUCAUACCCAAUAAAAGUUAAGGUCAUACGCCAAUUUUAUCGUAUGUAAAGUGAAUUUCACAAAAAAAUUGUUAGAUGCCAAAACUUGGCCUAUUUCAUAAAUUCGAGGACACUAUAUAAUCUAUAGAAAAUGAUCAUUUUGUAAAGUUAAAUAAUACCCAAUACAAUAAAAUUUGUCCAGAAAGUAUAAACAAUAUUUGAAGGAAAUUCCUUAAUAAUUAAGAUGAAACAAUAAAAUUGCUGGGAAACAAUGCUGUUGUUAGCAUUUACUGACAGAAGUAGCCGAAAAGCCAGUAAUUUGAGUUACCUCCCUUGGCGUAAAAAAUGUAAAAUGAUCCGAAACUUGCAUAAAUUGUAAUUUUCGAAGAAAACAGUAUUUAUUUAGAACAUUUUCACUUAUCUCGAUUUUUUUUAUCAAGUGUAAACGUGGAAUUAAUUUUUUUUUUUUAAUUUGAUGGUGAAAAAUAAAUAUUCAGCCCGGACCUUAUCAAAGUUUCGUGGGUAAACAGAUAUGGCUGACAAGUGAUAGAAACGUGAAGUUUUUCUAGGAGUGGUUCUUAUUUUAGGGACUUGUCGAUCCUUAAUAAUUGUUCAAAAGACAUAAGUGGAUAUUCAAGAUAUUUUAAAGUUGGAACUGCGUGUAAUAUUCAACCGAGAUUGACCCCCUGCUGUACAGAUCGGGGUACUUCGAAUUCAACGUAAAAGUUUAACUGUUUAAACUAUCGUGCACGGUGCAGAUGCUUACUAGUAUGCCGAGGUCAUUGCGAUUCUUUUGGGAUUUACUGAAGGCAACCACCACCAAAUGUAGUUAUCUACUACACAAAGGAAAGUGUAAAGCAGACAGAGCAGUAAACUUCAAUGUUUCAAGGGAAAUAUUUGUUCCCGUUGGAAGUGAUUUGGAAAAUAAUUAUAGUCAAAUCACCCCUACUGCAAGCCAAUUAUCAGACUGUAUCAGUGAGUAUAUUUAUUUAUUUCAAUCAAAAGAUUUUAAAUUCAGAAAAUGGUACAUCUGACCUUGUCAUAUUGUCAUAAUUCAUAAAUUAUGUAAGUUUAGAACUAUUACAGAUAUGAGCUUAAUUCCACAUUUGACAUGUAUAAUUCUUGAGACAAAUCCUGACCAAAGGCAUCCAAUGUUAUGAUGUCACAAUCCUUUUGUUUUACCUCACUUGACAGACAUACAUGUAGAAUAUAAAAACUUUAACUUUGACAAUAACAUAAGAAUGGUUAGAGAUGGGGGUUGGAUAUUUCAGAAAUGUGUGUUCCUUCAUGUCAUAUGAUAGUAACAUUUUUACCUUACGACCUUGACCCUUCAUAUUGAAGUUUUAUGUGAUGUCACCAUGCCACACACAACACAUACAUGCAUUUUUAAUUCAUGACUUAUCAAAGAUUUUAACCCACUCGACAAGUUUUAAACUCUCUUCAGACAAUUCUUGUUUAGAUAAUUUCAAAUACUAGCUCGUAUAUAUAUACAUAUAUAUAUAUAUAUAAGUCAGAGGUGAUGUUUUGAAAUCAGAAUGUGGUUUAAUUUUUGAAUCAAUGAAUAUAUAGUUUUUUUUUUUGUUUUUUUUUUUUAGCUCACCUGAUCUGAAGGCUAAAGAGGCUAAAGAAUUAGUGUAUGGAGGAGAUCAAAGUAUGAUGUGGGAAUAUACAGGAAAUUAAAACAAAUUCUUUUCAAGCAUUGAUGCAACUCAGGAAGAUGACAGAUUAGGCAGGCUAGUUAAUCAUGGUGAUAAAAGAGAGAUAAACUGCAAGAUGAAGCUAUGUGGCGAUUCCCUAUGUCUUUUUGCUACAAGAAACAUUGAGCAGGGAGAGGAACUUCUCUACGAUUAUGGCUUACAGUCAUAUCCAUGGAAAUCCAAAUAAUGGAUAAGCUAUUAUUAUCAAAUGAGGGUAAUGAUUUAUGCGAAAAGAAAGUACGGACAAAGAGAUCUUCAGAUGAAGAAACAACCUUGAUAUCAGCUGUUUUAGAGCGAAAGGACAUCCUGUUUGGGGAUUUUAAGGGUCCAGGGGGGAAAUCGGACUUUGCAAAGAGGAGACAGGGUUGUGAAGAAGUGGCAAAUGUUUUAAAUGUGCAAUUCAUAAGUCUUCGAAGAGACCCUGAGGAAAUUCAGAAGUUCGUCAACUUGAGGCAGAGAGCAAAGGAGAAGAUUGAUUUUAUCAAGAGGGCACUGGAGUGGGUUCUGCUCCACCACCCUCGACAGCUGGGGAGGAAACUGUUGCAAUAUCCCUUCAGAAUAGGCCCGUGGCAGGUGGAAUUGAAGGACGGAUAGAUGCUGAUGAAGCCCCUAGUACAUCUACAGACAGUGUUGAGCCUGCUGCAGCUGAGUCCCCUGCAACAUUCGAUGAGACGGUACAUGCAGGGUGUGACGUGAGAGCUAAAGAAAUCAGACACAAAAGAGCAACAGAGGGCCCUGCUAGAGAACAUCAGGCUGGACAGCAGGCGUCUGGAGUUGGAAAUCGCAAAAUUACAGAAAGAGUCAGAGAAACCUACAGUGGAGACAAAUUUUUAUAGGACAAAGACUUUGUACAUUCAGACAAAGAUACAGACAGAGUUUCACAUGUCAGUAGAGUCAUAAGUAUUUAAUAUUUACAACUUUCUUCUUAUACAUAUAUACAGUCUUUGGGUGAUUUUAGACUGGCUAAAUCAGUACAUGAAAAUAUUAACAUUACUUAGAAAGUUUAAAAAAAAUUCACAAGAAAUAUAAAAAAUGAACGUUAUUAGCAUGUGAGGAAUUUUUUUACUGGGGUAUUUUUGAAUUUUUAAAAAUUGUUGUCUAUCCUGAUGUUCCCUCCUCGAAUGUCAUGUCUAAUAAUGCAAUUUGUGUGAUUGGGUGAUAUUUUCUAAGUUAAAAUAUUCUUUCAUUAUUAUGAAAUGUUAUUUUGAAAAUUGUUUUACUUUAGAUUAAAUUAGGACAAAAGUUGUCUUUACUAUGAAGUUGUACAGAGAUUAUGAAAUCAUAACUGUAAUUAAUAGUAUAGAUAUGUAUGUAAAUAUUUAAAGAAUGUAUACAGAAUUUUCCAAUCUCUAUUUAAAUCCCCUCUUUAUAUACUAAACUAUACUGUAGAAAAUGUAACUGUCUUUGAGUUUUUAAAGUACAUAUGUAUACUAUUCAAUACUGGGUACCUGUAAAAUGCGAAACGAAACGAAAUCUACCGAAACGAAACAGAUUGUAUUAACCGAUUCGGGACUCUUUCAAUUAUGUUGAUUAACAAGAGUACCGCAAACGGUACAUAAUACGCCCGCGAAAUGCUUACAUGUACAUUGGGUGUUUUUUCUUGUGCUAUAAUUUGUAUAACUUUGCUUCAGGUAGUAUCAGCCAUCAUGAGGCUGUGACAAACGUUCAUAUGAACAAAGGGUCUUAGCUUAAAAACGAGAUUUCCUCAAAAUGGACCAAGUACAACAACCUGUAAUUUUCUCAAAAAUUGUAGAAAAUCAAAAUCCAUCCCACAUGCACAUCUUCGAUACCCUUACAAACUCUCCAUAAAAUAAGAAGGCUCUCACUUGAAAACUGUGGGAGGAGUAGGGCGGACAAAUCAUGUACCCUCCAUAUAAUAAUUAUUUCCAAAUAAAGGGGCAAAACUCCUGGAAAAAGGUCAAAAUUGCAGUAUGAUAUAGAGUGACCCACAAAGAAGUUACACAGCAAGUUUCAGCAUGAUAUGUGAAAGGGAAAUGAAAUUAUAAAGAGAAAACCCCGAACGGACGGACGUACAGACAUCACUGUGCCAUAAUACGCCCCGUCUAAAGACGGGCGUAUAAAAAUGGUAUCUUAAGCCCCUGUGAAAGUUACCACAUAUAAAUAAAAUUCGCCUCCCCUUUGAUGUAGGCUUUCGGCUUGACUGAUACAAAGUUUUAAAAGUUGGAAGGGGGUAGUAAGCAAACGGUACAUAUCCGAAGUUGAUUAAAUACCAUGCGCAAUUAGUUUCGGAUCCAUAAAGAGCUAGAGCCACGAAAGGUCAAAAUCGGCCUGUAUUUUUAUGAAAAAUUCUCUGAAACUUAACAAAUAAAUAUUGCACUAAAUAUUGUCAAUAUACAUCGUAGUAAAUAUAUUCAUAUCAAAAUGUUAAUUAUGUGACGUCAUAACUGUGCCGUAGAUGUCAUAACACGUGACGUUUGCACAUUUUUCUCUAAAAAUGACAAAUUUUGGAACUUUGAUUCAAAAUUUCAGUUUGGCCACAUUCAACGAACAAAUUAAAAAUUCUGACAUGGGUAAAGAAAUGAAAACUGCACAAAUGAAUGUUGGAUUCAAUUUGUUCGAUGACAGUGGCCAUACGUAAAUUUCUUGUUUUAGGUCUUUCACAAACAUAAUUUAUCGAAUGAUGAUAGUUUCUCAUUUAAAAAAUAGACGUGUCCUUAUAAAACAUUAUAAAAUGAUAGAUUUUCAUAUAGGAUCUCAAAGCAUAAUUAUAUCCCAAUUAUUUUGAAAAGUUUUAUGUACAUCUAUGAUCGAGGAAUGAAAUAUAGAUUUCGGAUGAUCAUCGUCGAAUUAUGUGAUGACAAUAAUCAGUUCAACAUGAUUGAUAUUUGGAAAGUGUAUGUCUUUGCUUUUAGGUCCAAUUUAUCUCAAAUGUUGAAUAUGCUAAUAAAAUAAUUAAAAGACACCAAUUAUCUUCUUGUGUUCUUUUAUUUCGCCGAUACAUUGAUGUUUAACUGUCACAUAAAUGUAAACAUGAAAGCGCUCUACAAUCAUAGGGAGAUAAUUCGAUCAACAUAGCAUUUGUAUUGAGCUUAUUUUACUACGAGCAAUAACGUAAACCAUGACGAUAUUUGGACAAUGAGUUGUCUGAAUACACAAUAUUUUUCUGUAUAAAACUUUUCGUGGUUGUAAUCUU